CCUACGGGUGGCAGCAGUGGGGAAUUUUGGACAAUGGGGGCAACCCUGAUCCAGCCAUGCCGCGUGCGGGAAGAAGGCCUUCGGGUUGUAAACCGCUUUUGUCAGGGAAGAAAUCUUCCGAGCUAAUACCUUGGGAGGAUGACGGUACCUGAAGAAUAAGCACCGGCUAACUACGUGCCAGCAGCCGCGGUAAUACGUAGGGUGCAAGCGUUAAUCAGAAUGUGCGGGGGCGGUUGUUGCACAGGGGGUUGAAAUCCCCGGGCUUAACCUGGGAACUGCACUUGUGACUGUACGGCUGGAGUACGGCAGAGGGGGAUGGAAUUCCGCGUGUAGCAGUGAAAUGCGUAGAUAUGCGGAGGAACACCGAUGGCGAAGGCAGUCCCCUGGGCCUGUACUGACGCUCAUGCACGAAAGCGUGGGGAGCAAACAGGAUUAGAUACCCCAGUAGUC
rnacentral:rRNA from 1 species